GUCAUUGUAGUUUAGAUAAAACACUGGUCUUGUAAACCAGAAUCGGAAUAAUAGAUUCCCUAUUACA
rnacentral:tRNA from 1 species